GACGAACGCUGGCGGCGUGCUUAACACAUGCAAGUGGAGCGACGAACCGGGCUUCGGCCCGGGGCAGAGCCGCGAACGGGUGAGUAACACGUGGGUAACGUGCCCCGAUGACUGGGACAACCCGGGGAAACCCGGGCUAAUACCAGAUGUGCCCUUCCGCCACGAGGCGGUCUGGUAAAGGUAGCUUCGGCUUCCGCAUCGGGAUCGGCCCGCGGCCCAUUAGCUUGUUGGUGGGGUAAAGGCCUACCAAGGCGACGAUGGGUAGCUGGUCUGAGAGGACGAUCAGCCACACUGGGACUGAGACACGGCCCAGACUCCUACGGGAGGCAGCAGUGGGGAAUCUUGCGCAAUGCGCGAAAGCGUGACGCAGCAACGCCGCGU
rnacentral:rRNA from 1 species